UCGUUACCCACCGCGUUCCCUGGCGCUGGGGAAAGCAGUGCUUGAUCAGGCUGCUUCCUGUGGGCUGUGGAUGUGAAAAGUGAGACCCACUGGUGAAUGGGUAUAUAAUUAAGUCUUGUUGCUCCUGAAGCCAAAUUCAUGGUUAACAGAAAAAUAGACCACCGGCAGACUCAGGGUUGAAAAGCAAUUCCCCGGCCCCUUCUGAAGUACAGACCAGCUGCCCUGCCAACAUGACAGAAGAUGCCCCUGGGGACCAGCAGGCCGGGCUGGGCAGCUGAUGCUGUAGCCUCCACCCUCUGGCCUUGACAAGCAAUGUGGAUCUCUGCCAGGAGCCGCAGGACACCUCUCCUUCAUGGGGCUCAAAUGUCACUUCUCAUGUCAGUGGGUUCCAUCACACCUCCCUGGAGCCUUUUCUGACUCCCAAGAGGAACAUCAAACAGUCCUCGGGAGAGACAAGGCUUUAGCAGAGAGAAGAGGAGAGAGGAGGAGCCGCAGCAGGGUGCAGGCUGGCGGG